CUCUGCGUCAGCCAUCAGGCCGGUUUAAUGUUAUUUUAAACCACUUUGCUCGUGUGUGUUCGUACUUUUUAAUCAGUUAGCAGCAGAAGACACGCAGCUAACGUAGCUUACCUCUAGAGGCGCAGAGGAGAACUCCCGCCGUUGGUCCGAGUUAUUCCUGUGGCCCUGGAGGGUCCUGUCUUUCCUGUAAUGGAGGGAGACGCUGUGACUCUACACUGCCUGAACAAGAUGACCACCAGCAUCGCAGCUGACUUCUAUAAAGAUGACCUCUUUGUUGGCAACAGCUCUGGAGGCAACAUGUCCAAUUUCCAAGGCUGAUGAAGGACUCUACAAGUGCAACAUUUUUGGGGCUGGAGAAUCACUAGAAAGCUGGCUGGCUGUCAAAAUGUCCAAAAGUGAAUACCACAUUUUGUUCUGAACAACUUCCUGUUCUCCUCUACCUCCUCAUAAGGACUGUUGCCACCAUUUUGUGGGUUUUUCUGCUGCUGUCUGUGUUGAGAAAACCUCACUCUAGGAACCAUUGAGGCCCGGCAAGCUACUGUGGUUAAAAAGGAAGAGUGAUCACCUAACUGGAUACAGUGCUCACUGAUUUCAACCUUGUGGUUAUCUACUUCUUUCAUCCAGUCCGUCAGUUUGUUUGACAAACCACCUGUUUUGCAAAGCCUGCUGCGAGACUAAACAUGAGCAAAGUAACCACUAUAAUGCUAACACGAGUGGCAGAAGAAGACGUGGCCCCAAAGUAAUCAGCUGAAAUGAUAAAACAACACAACACAUGGUGAACGUGUCACUCUUCUCCACAGUCACUCUGCUCCUGACAGUAUAGAGGUCAUCAGGACCUCUGACUGUCU